GAUGAACGCUGGCGGCGUGCCUAAUACAUGCAAGUCGAGCGAACGGACGAGAAGCUUGCUUUUCUGAUGUUAGCGGCGGACGGGUGAGUAACACGUGGAUAACCUACCUAUAAGACUGGGAUAACUUCGGGAAACCGGAGCUAAUACCGGAUAAUAUUUUGAACCGCAUGGUUCAAAAGUGAAAGACGGUCUUGCUGUCACUUAUAGAUGGAUCCGCGCUGCAUUAGCUAGUUGGUAAGGUAACGGCUUACCAAGGCAACGAUGCAUAGCCGACCUGAGAGGGGGGCCGCCCACACUGGACCUAAGACCGGGCCCGGCCUCCUGCGGGAGGACGCAGUAGGAAUUCUUCCGCAAAGGCAAAAAGCCGGACGGAGCACCGCCGCGGGAGGGAUAAGGGUCUACGGUCCAUAAAACUUUUUUAUGGGGAAAAAACAUAUGUUAAAGAAACGUUGCACCCCUGGACGGUACCAAAUAGGAAGACCGGGGCAAGCCCCGUG
rnacentral:rRNA from 1 species